AGAAUAUGAAUUAAUUUGAAUGGAGGAUAAAGUUUUAGAAUUAAUAAAAGGAAUUUAAGAAGUUAAAUUUUUAGUAUAUGUUUAGAACUAAUUAUUAAUUUGAUAGUAAAUUAGUACAGUGAUGGAAUUGUGAAAUAAAUUUUGAAAAUUUAAUUUAUUAAAAAGUAGAAUUAAAUUUGUACCUUGUGUAUCAGGGUUUAUUUAUUUGUUGUUUUAAAUUAAACAAUCCCGAAUUAAAAAGAGCUAAAAUAGUAUGUUAGUUAAUGUUGAAUAAUUAUUAAUUAUAUUAUUUUUGUAAUGAGAUAUUAGUCGGUUUUUAAGAUAUCUGGUUUUUUAAUAAUUGAAUUUAAUUCAGCUUAUAAUAGUAUUUUUCCUUUAUUAAAUUAAGUAAAUAAUAAUUAUAAGUAGUAUUUUUAAGGAUAAGCUUAGAAGUAUAAGUUAAAAGUUAAGUUAAUGUAAGUUUGAAAUGUAGGCUUUAAAUUAGCUAUCAUUUGGAUUUUGUUAUAAAUUAUUAAUAAUUUUAAAGAUGAUUUAUAUAAAAUAAUUUAACUUGUUUAUUAAAAUGAUUAAAUAAAUUAGAUAUUUAAUUUAAUAAUGAUAAAAUUAGUAUAAUUAAAUGUAUGCAAUUGGGAACAAUAAUAUAAUAAAUUUAUGUUAAGGAAUUCGGCAAAUAAUUUACUCGCAUGUUUAUCAAAAACAUCUCCUUUUGGAAGAAUAUAAGGUAGGGCCUGCCCACUGAAUUAUUGAAGGGCCGCGGUAUUUUGACCGUGCAAAGGUAGCGUAAUCAUUAGUCUUUUAAUUGAAGGCUGGAAUGAAUGGUUUGACGAGGUAAAAGCUGUCUCAAUAUAAGUUAUUAAAAUUUAAUUUUUAGGUUAAAAAGCUUAAAUAUUAAUAAAGGACGAGAAGACCCUAUAGAGCUUAUAUAUAAAGUUUGGUUAUAAUUAAUUGGGUGUGGUUAGAUUAUAAUAUAAUUAUAUUAUGUUGGGGUGACAUGAAGAUAUAAUAAACUCUUUAUUCUUUAAAUACAUUGAUUUAUGAAUAAUUGAUCCAAACUUAUUGAUUAUAAGACAAGUUACCUUAGGGAUAACAGCGUAAUUUUUCUUGAGAGUUCUUAUCGACAGAAAAGAUUGCGACCUCGAUGUUGGAUUAAGGAAUAUAGUUGGGUGUAGCAGUUUAAUUAAUAGGUCUGUUCGACCUUUAAAUCCUUACAUGAUCUGAGUUCAGACCGGCGGGAGCCAGGUCGGUUUCUAUCCUUAUUGGAAGAUAAUACUUUAGUACGAAAGGACCAAGUAUUUUAAAAAUUUUAAUUUAGUUGAAUAUGAAUAAACUAUAAU
rnacentral:rRNA from 1 species